UUAAAAUCAGGAGGCAGAGCACACCAUGUGAGGCCUGCAGAGAGGAAAAGGCAGUGAGAGGAAAACAUUAGCAAGAGCUCCUAUUGUGCUUUCCACCUGAAAGGUCACUACCCUGACAAAGGAUAUUAAGGCAAUUAAGGAAGAGAAUGGGACUAGGGUUCCAGUUCAGCCUGAUUGCCAUGGAGGGAAACACAGGAUUCUCUAAGACUUCCCACAGCAUCCCUUUCAUCUGCCAUUGCAGUGGCCAGAGUGUGUGCUUCUGGGGUCUGCUGCUAUGAAAGAGAGGUUAAGAUCCACUGUGAGUGCUGCUGCUGGCAAAGGGUACCAAACAAGAUGAAGAACCUUUGACGAUACAAUAAUCUAGGUUUAUCAGGUAUGCAAAUGAAGGCGGCUCAGGGAAAAAAUUACUAGAGGCUGAAAUCUAGAAAAAAGCAAUUUACCACUAUUAGUACGACCUUGAGUGAAUGAAUCACAGACCUUUCGCUAGGUUUAUAAUGACUCAUUACACAAAAGCUUUUGCCUUCAGUCCCUUCUGGAAAGAGGAAAAGUGUAAACCACAAAAACAACCUAAAAUGAGGAUGAAAGGAGAUAAAUGUAAAAGGAUUUUUUAAAGCAUAGAAGGCUAUAUAAAUCCCUGCUAAUCCUAUUUAUUAGUCACUGGUUUUUACUGACAAUCAGAUGGUGCAUGCAUCUAUAUUUGAAGGCCUUAUCAUCCACAAGUUGAAUCAGUGCUGGCCUGAGUUCAACAGCUAAUACAAAUGCAAAAAGCAUUCUCGGAUUUGGUGGUUGGGUGAGUGACUGUGACCAGCUGGAAAAUGUAUGCUAUGCCUGCAGCCUGCAUGCUAACAUAGUCUCAUAGUCUACCACUUCCUGCUGCAUUUGAUUAGGAGGACUGAAAUCUAACCAAGAUGGGACUUGAAUUUCUUUAUUUACAUGAAAAUCACUGGUUAGAACAAUCCCUCUGCCCUUGGCAACUAGUCAGCCAAAUUCUUUAGCACAGGUGAACACAUUUCCACAAUAGGUGAAGUUCUAAUUGGGUAGCAAGGGAAUCUUCUUCAACCUGUAAGGAGAUUCUUUUAAAAAUCUUUCAACCAGACAGGGGAUAGAGUUCAGUGGUAGAGCAUAUGCCUAGUAUGUGCAGGGUC